rnacentral:rRNA from 1 species
GGUCAGGACGAACGCUGGCGGCGUGCCUAAUACAUGCAAGUCGAACGCUUCUUUUUCCACCGGAGCUUGCUCCACCGGAAAAAGAGGAGUGGCGAACGGGUGAGUAACACGUGGGUAACCUGCCCAUCAGAAGGGGAUAACACUUGGAAACAGGUGCUAAUACCGUAUAACAAUCGAAACCGCAUGGUUUUGAUUUGAAAGGCGCUUUCGGGUGUCGCUGAUGGAUGGACCCGCGGUGCAUUAGCUAGUUGGUGAGGUAACGGCUCACCAAGGCGACGAUGCAUAGCCGACCUGAGAGGGUGAUCGGCCACAUUGGGACUGAGACACGGCCCAAACUCCUACGGGAGGCAGCAGUAGGGAAUCUUCGGCAAUGGACGAAAGUCUGACCGAGCAACGCCGCGUGAGUGAAGAAGGUUUUCGGAUCGUAAAACUCUGUUGUUAGAGAAGAACAAGGAUGAGAGUAACUGUUCAUCCCUUGACGGUAUCUAACCAGAAAGCCACGGCUAACUACGUGCCAGCAGCCGCGGUAAUACGUAGGUGGCAAGCGUUGUCCGGAUUUAUUGGGCGUAAAGCGAGCGCAGGCGGUUUCUUAAGUCUGAUGUGAAAGCCCCCGGCUCAACCGGGGAGGGUCAUUGGAAACUGGGAGACUUGAGUGCAGAAGAGGAGAGUGGAAUUCCAUGUGUAGCGGUGAAAUGCGUAGAUAUAUGGAGGAACACCAGUGGCGAAGGCGGCUCUCUGGUCUGUAACUGACGCUGAGGCUCGAAAGCGUGGGGAGCAAACAGGAUUAGAUACCCUGGUAGUCCACGCCGUAAACGAUGAGUGCUAAGUGUUGGAGGGUUUCCGCCCUUCAGUGCUGCAGCUAACGCAUUAAGCACUCC